rnacentral:lncRNA from 1 species
CUGGGAUCAGGCCCCCUCCACAGACAAGUCAUACUCUCUGGCGUGGGAGUCUUGAGUUGGGUCUGCAGGACUGUUAGGUCUCUUUGUGUGAUCAACCCUCUAUCAUAGGCAACCAUACUUCACCCUGUGGCCAGAAGAACAAAAAAAACUUUGCUACAGAAAUAGAAUUAAACAGAACUGCAAAAAGGCACAUAGGUGGAGAUGAUGGCCAGAGUUCCCUUCCUAUAGGAAUAAGCCUUGUGAUUCCUUAUGAUAAACACUGAUUUUUGCUUAAGGCAGCUCAGGCUGGUUUCUGUGACUUACAUCUUCUGUUUGUCCUAAUAUUUCAAGGCCUGCUGGGUGGACCCCAAGGCCUUUGAUCUGGUAAGUGAGGCAAACAUGCGGGACAGAAUUCAGUAGGAGCCACAGAGCAAAAUGCCUCAUCAAAGUCUUGCUACUUCCAAAAAAAAUCAAAGAUGAUAAACCCUUUGCAGAAGACCCUGACUGACUGUUUGGAUGAGUACUGCACUUGGUUCUGGGAGGAGUCUUGAUAAAGAUGUCUAGGAGCCAUGAUCACAUGCUCUAAAUGUGUGCACCACAGGUCCCUUUCUGCAGUGUCCUGCUCCAGCCACAUGUGGAAGCAUUGUCAGGUCUAAAUGUCUCAGACCAGCUUUCACCAACAGCAGGAAAAGCAAGCUCCCUCACAGCGAGUACCUCUGCUUCUUGUUGCCACUUCAUAUCAUUGUGGAGAGAUUAUAAUGUCCAUGGCUUGGACUAAUCUCUUCCCAGCGCCUAGCUCAGUGGACAGUUUCCACUUACAGGCUGAGCUGUGUGAGCUCAGUGUCAACUUCAGGGUCCAUCAGAAUCGCCCGGAGGACUGGUUAAGACGCAGAAUGCUGGCCCCAGCCCCAGGGUCUCUGAUUCUGUAGGUCUAGCGUGGGGUUUAAAACUUUGUAUUUCUAAUAAAUUCUUGGGUAUGAAAGCCUGAAUAAUGGCCCCCAAAGAUAUAUAGGUCCUAAUCCCUGGGAUCUGUAAACAUUACCUUGUAGGGGAAAAGGGACUUUGCAGAUGUGAUUCAGUAAAGGUACUUGAGGUAAGGAGAUUAUCCUGGAUUAUCUGCUAAACCCGAAGUAUAAUCUCAGGGGUCUUUAUGAGAGAGAGGCAGAGGAAGAUUAGAUGACAGAAGAGGAGAAGGCAACGUGACAGGAAGGAGCAGAGAUUGCAGUCGUGUGGUCACAAGCAGGGGGAUACAGGCCACCACCAGAAGCUGGAAGGGGCAACGAAUGGCGGAUUCUCUGCUGCUGCAACUUGCAGAAGGAACAAACCCUGCUGCCAUCUUGAUUUUAGCCCUGUGAGACUCGGCUCAGACUUCAGCCCUCCAGAACUGUAACAGAAUAAAUUGUUGGGUUUUUUUUUGUUUUGUUUUAUUUUGUUUUGUUUUGUUUGAGACAGGGUCUUGCUAUGUCACCCAGGCUGGAGUGCAGUAGUGCAGUCUCGGUUCACGAAUUCCCCGGCUCAAGCGAUCCUCCCACCUCAGCUCCCCUGAGGAGCUGGGACUACAGGAGUGCACCACCAUGCCCAGCCUAAAUUGGUGUUUUAAGCCACUAAAUUUGUGGUAAUUUCUAACAACAGCCACAGGAAAGACAAACAGCUUGUGAUGCUUAUAUUGUUGUUUGGGGGUCCACACUUUGCAAACUACUGCAAGACAUCUGUAUUAGUCUGUUCCCACACUGCUAAUAAAGACAUACCCAGGACUGGGUAAUUUAUAAAGAAAAAGAGGUUUAAUGGACUCAACAGUUCCACAAGGCUGGGGAGGCCUGACAAUCAUGGCAGAAGGUCAAGGAGGAGCAAAGGCAUGUCUUACAUAGUGGCAGGCAAGAGUGCAUGUGCAGGUGAACUGCCCCUUAUAAAACCAUCAGAUCUCAUGAGACUUAUUCACUAUCAUGAGAACGGCACGGGAAAACAUGCCUCCAUGAUUCAAUUACCUCCUACCAGGUCCCUCCCAUGACACCUGGGGAUUACAGGAGCUACAAUUCAAGAUGAGAUUUGGGUGGGGACACAGCCCAACCAUAUCAACAUCUAUCCCUGGCCAUAUCUAAUGCCACCUGGAGGAUCAGGGUCUGUGUGAAUGGUCCCCUGGAAACUCUGAUGAUGAUUCAGAACAGUGCAAUACUAGGUGAGUACACAGCACACCCACCACCCCCUUCACUUUAACUCAUACAGUGGGAAAGCACACAGCAGAGGGACUACAGAGCUGAAUUCCAACCCUGCCUCUACUGAUUACUGGUCCUGCAGCUAAGCCAGUUCCUCAGCCUCUCCGGACCUCAGCAUCUGCAUCUGAAAUUCAGGUAUAACACCACCAGCCUCAAAGCACUCUCAAGAGCAUUAAACAAGAUACUGCAUCUAAGCUCCACCUGGCUUGUGGCAA